UAAGCAUUUACUGAACGCAGCCAAAUUGCUAAUCCCGAGGAAGUGGCGAACCACACAGAUACCCAGCCUCCAGGAAUGGAUGGAACAGGUCGAAGAAAUCCAUGGCAUGGAACAGCUGACGGCCUCCCUGCGUGGAACCACAGAGCGAUACCAGCAAAUCUGGACACCUUGGCUGCUAUUCAUAUCCGGGAGACAGACAUAAGCACCAAAGCACACCGGAGAGCGGGACUGGCGGAGGCAAGGGAUACCGGGACCGCAAGGGCGCCUCUUUAGGCCGUGGACGUGCUCGGCCGGACAGACUGUAGGGGCGGAGGGGGACGCCGUGACACCCGCAACACAGGCACUAAAACGGCCCUAACCCUCCCUCUCUCUUUCUCUGCUCUCCAACUCCUGCUCCUCUCUCCCGCUCCCUUUAUCUUUCCCUCUUCCGAAAGAUGUGUAGAUACAGGCCUGGGUGGGACCGCACCCACACCCCCUGAUGUAAUUUUAAAACCUG